AUGCGCUCUGCAGCUCCUACUCCGAUGGGGCUAAAGAGCCCCUGGCUGAGCGCACACCAGAGGGGGGCGCCGCAGGGGUUCGCGGGGGAACGCGGCCAAGGCAAGGGAGCAUGUGCCGCGGAGGCUGUGGCAGGCUGCAAACUGGAGGACCCCUGCGAACACCUCCCCCACUGUCAGCAGCUGCAACCUCCGCACCGCCGGCGGUCCCUGACCGUCGGAACCCGGGCGAGCCUGGCUCCAGUCACCCAAAGGUCGCCCCAGCUCGUCAGUCAGCGCCCUCGGGCUGGAACAAAGGCGAGGGGGCGCGCGGCAUCGCCCCAGCGGCCCUUUCGGGCAUCUGCCCAAGGCCAAGAGAGCGAGGACCAGGGUCCCCCAGAUCCUCUGCUACAGUCUCGGGACCUCAUUUGCCUCUCCCAGAAAAUCUUGAGGAAGAGGAGCAGUUCAGGGAGGGUAAGCAAGCAGCCCUCAGACACCCAGCAGGGAAGUCUACACCAUCGAUCCUGGCCAAGCUUCCGGCUGGUUCUGCAUCCUUCUCACAAGUGACCUUGGGCAGUGUCCUUCACUGCCCUCAGCCUCAGUGUCCCCCUCCAUAGCGACAAGCUAUGAACUGUGCUGGGCAGUCAGCUUGUCCCUCAGCCCCUCUCUCCCACCCACUCCCACCCACUCCCAGCCCUUCAAGCCUGCCCUCCAUGAAGGUAUUGCUUAGGUCCUUGCAC
rnacentral:lncRNA from 1 species